UACCGGGUAAUACCUUUCUCCGCAUGGAGGAAGGUUGAAAGGCGGCCUUUUGGCUGUCACUUACAGAUGGGCCCGCGGCGCAUUAGCUAGUUGGUGGGGUAACGGCCUACCAAGGCAACGAUGCGUAGCCGACCUGAGAGGGUGAUCGGCCACACUGGGACUGAGACACGGCCCAGACUCCUACGGGAGGCAGCAGUAGGGAAUCUUCCGCAAUGGACGAAAGUCUGACGGAGCAACGCCGCGUGAACGAUGAAGGUCUUCGGAUCGUAAAGUUCUGUUGUCAGGGAAGAACAAGUACCGUUUGAACAAGGCGGUACCUUGACGGUACCUGACGAGGAAGCCCCGGCUAACUACGUGCCAGCAGCCGCGGUAAUACGUAGGGGGCGAGCGUUGUCCGGAAUUAUUGGGCGUAAAGCGCGCGCAGGCGGUUCCUUAAGUCUGAUGUGAAAGCCCACGGCUUAACCGUGGAGGGUCAUUGGAAACUGGGGAACUUGAGUACAGAAGAGGAGAGCGGAAUUCCACGUGUAGCGGUGAAAUGCGUAGAUAUGUGGAGGAACACCAGUGGCGAAGGCGGCUCUCUGGUCUGUAACUGACGCUGAGGCGCGAAAGCGUGGGGAGCGAACAGGA
rnacentral:rRNA from 1 species